AAAGGUGGCCCAGUGCACCUGCUUUAGCAAGGCAAGUAGGUGUCAUUUCCUUGAAAAGCUUCAGUUCAGAAAGUGUCACGUAGAAGCCUUCAAAAGAAAAAGCAAUGCAAGUUCAUUGUAUCCUUUUUUAUACUUUGUGCAUCUCGGCAUUGUUUUGCGAUGGGAAAACAACGCCUAAAGGUGGCAAGAAUACAAAUAAAAUAGACAAGGAGAAGGCAGUAAGACUGUUGCUAAGUAACAAUGUGCUCGCCAUAAGCAGGGGAGUUUAUAGCCGGUCAGACUAUCCGCGAUGUGUGUGGUCUCGCCUGAAGUCCUCGUCUUCAGUCAAAUACAACCACAAUUUAACAUAUUUGGACACCGAUGUA